rnacentral:misc_RNA from 1 species
UCAGAAAACAUAUAUAUUGCAUCUCUUACAAGUUAUCAAACUAUAAAGUAAGGCCUUGGCAAAAGCAGAAUUGAGGAAAAAGCAAAAUGACCUGAUCUGGAGUGCACGCUCGCCCAGGAUUUUUGCACGUUCAAACUUUGUCAUAAACUUUGAUGUCUUACGAGGUUGUUCCACAGGCUUUUGCUUCUCUGUUUUCUCCUCACCUUCACGAUCUGGUAUGUCCUCAUUGUUGCCAUUAUCUUCUUCAAUCUCUGCUCCUUCAUCAGGUUCAGGAUCCAUUGGCUCGUCCACGUAUCCUCCGUCCAUAUCAUAAUCAUCGUCCGCCAUUGUUGCGUCGGCGUCAAAGCUUUCUUUUCAAUUUGUGUAAUACGGAGAGAACGCAGCUUUGAAACCAA